rnacentral:tRNA from 1 species
GGCCCUGGGGUGUCAAGACAUAUAAGAUUGCAAAUCUUAGGUAGCAGGCUACUUACCUGCCUGGGCUU